GUGGGGAAUAUUGGACAAUGGGGGGAACCCUGAUCCAGCCAUGCCGCGUGUGUGAAGAAGGCCUUUUGGUUGUAGAGCACUUUAAGCGAGGAGGAGGCUACCGAGAUUAAUACUCUUGGAUAGUGGACGUUACUCGCAGAAUAAGCACCGGCUAACUCUGUGCCAGCAGCCGCGGUAAUACAGAGGGUGCAAGCGUUAAUCGGAUUUACUGGGCGUAAAGUGCGCGUAGGUGGCCAAUUAAGUCAAAUGUGAAAUCCCCGAGCUUAACUUGGGAAUUGCAUUCGGUACUGGUUGGCUGGAGUAUGGGAGAGGAUGGUAGAAUUCCAGGUGUAGCGGUGAAAUGCGUAGAGAUCUGGAGGAAUACCGAUGGCGAAGGCAGCCAUCUGGCCUAAUACUGACACUGAGGUGCGAAAGCAUGGGGAGCAAACAGGAUUAGAUACCCUUGUAGUCC
rnacentral:rRNA from 1 species